UUCUUGCAAAUCAUUUUCUUCUUGGCAUACUUUUAAAUUUCAAUAGGCCGAUGUCUGCUGCUUCAAUGAGAAGAUACAAAUAUUUGGUCUCAUCAUUCCAUUUUGCAAAAUGUUGAAUCCUUAAAUGGUCAAAUUCUAACCUAAUUCCUCAUUUGGGUGCAACAGUCAGUGCGAAGGAAGUUGCUUUCAGCUAAAACUAAUAAUUACGACUAGCUUCAAACUUAUUUAGAUUAUUUCCAGAAGAAGUAUCAGGGAUGGAUUAAGAGAAAUGUUGCUGGUAUUGAACUACUUGAUCUGCUUCUAGUGUGGAACACUUCUAAUGUCAUCACCUCUAUUAAUUUAGUUGGAGCUCCCUUUCGGUCUUUGCAACAUAUGCCGAGAAAGAAAAGGUCAAUUUCUUUUGCUAUCAGAAACGUAUCAACUGGUAUAUUUUAAAUUUUGUUUCAUAGUUGAGAAUGUUAUGAUUAUUGCUUGCAGUUCUUGGGCAAUGACAUAUAACUCACUAUCUAAUAGAACGCCAGCUCUUAGAAGAUUAUUGGAUUUGGAUUCUCAUAUUGCCUCUUUAUUUUUCUUGUUUGAUAAUUAAAUU